AAUAGAUACCCAGGUAGUCCACGCCCUAAACGAUGCGAACUGGAUGUUGGGUUCAACUUGGAACCCAGUAUCGAAGCUAACGCGUUAAGUUCGCCGCCUGGGGAGUACGGUCGCAAGACUGAAACUCAAAGGAAUUGACGGGGGCCCGCACAAGCGGUGAAGUAUGUGGUUUAAUUCGAUGCAACGCGAAGAACCUUACCUGGUCUUGACAUCCACGGAACUUUCCAGAGAUGGAUUGGUGCCUUCGGGAACCGUGAGACAGGUGCUGCAUGGCUGUCGUCAGCUCGUGUCGUGAGAUGUUGGGUUAAGUCCCGCAACGAGCGCAACCCUUGUCCUUAGUUGCCAGCACGUAAUGGUGGGAACUCUAAGGAGACCGCCGGUGACAAGCCGGAGGAAGGUGGGAUGACGUCAAGUCAUCAUGGCCCUUACGACCAGGGCUACACACGGUACUACAAUGGGAAGGACAGAGGGCUGCAAUCCCGCGAGGGUGAGCCAAUCCCAGAAACCUUCUCUCAGUCCGGAUCGGAGUCUGCAACUCGACUCCG
rnacentral:rRNA from 1 species